rnacentral:rRNA from 1 species
AGAGUUUGAUCCUGGCUCAGGAUGAACGCUAGCUACAGGCUUAACACAUGCAAGUCGAGGGGCAGCGGGAUUGAAGCUUGCUUCAAUUGCCGGCGACCGGCGCACGGGUGAGUAACGCGUAUCCAACCUUCCGUACACUCAGGGAUAGCCUUUCGAAAGAAAGAUUAAUACCUGAUAGUAUCUUAAGCACACAUGUAAUUAAGAUUAAAGAUUUAUCGGUGUACGAUGGGGAUGCGUUCCAUUAGGUAGUAGGCGGGGUAACGGCCCACCUAGCCUGCGAUGGAUAGGGGUUCUGAGAGGAAGGUCCCCCACAUUGGAACUGAGACACGGUCCAAACUCCUACGGGAGGCAGCAGUGAGGAAUAUUGGUCAAUGGGCGAGAGCCUGAACCAGCCAAGUAGCGUGAAGGAUGAAGGUCCUACGGAUUGUAAACUUCUUUUAUACGGGAAUAAAGUAUCCUACGUGUAGGAUUUUGUAUGUACCGUAUGAAUAAGCAUCGGCUAACUCCGUGCCAGCAGCCGCGGUAAUACGGAGGAUGCGAGCGUUAUCCGGAUUUAUUGGGUUUAAAGGGAGCGCAGACGGGAGAUUAAGUCAGUUGUGAAAGUUUGCGGCUCAACCGUAAAAUUGCAGUUGAUACUGGUUUCCUUGAGUGCAGUUGAGGCAGGCGGAAUUCGUGGUGUAGCGGUGAAAUGCUUAGAUAUCACGAAGAACCCCGAUUGCGAAGGCAGCUUGCUAAACUGUAACUGACGUUCAUGCUCGAAAGUGUGGGUAUCAAACAGGAUUAGAUACCCUGGUAGUCCACACGGUAAACGAUGGAUACUCGCUGUUGGCGAUAUACUGUCAGCGGCCAAGCGAAAGCAUUAAGUAUCCCACCUGGGGAGUACGCCGGCAACGGUGAAACUCAAAUGAAUUGACGGAAGGGCGA